UUGAUCCUGGCUCAGAAUCAACGCUGGCGGCGUGCCUAACACAUGCAAGUCGAACGAGAAAGUGGAGCAAUCCAUGAGUAAAGUGGCGACCGGGUGAGUUACACGUGACUAACCUACCUUCGAGUGGGGGAUAACCUCGGGAAACCGGGUCUAAUACCGCAUAACAUCUUUGGAGUGGAAAUUCUGGAGAUCAAAGGAGUAAUUCGCUGGAAGAGGGGGUCGCGGCCGAUUAGCUAGUUGGCGGGGUAAUGGCCCACCAAGGCUUAGAUCGGUAGCCGGCCUGAGAGGGCGCACGGCCAUACUGGAACUGAAACACGGUCCAGACUCCUACGGGAGGCAGCAGUGGGGAUUUUUGCGCAAUGGGGGAAACCCUGACGCAGCAACGCCGCGUGGAGGAUGUAGUCCCUUGGGACGUAAACUCCUUUCGACCCGGACGAUAAUGACGGUACUGGUGGAAGAAGCCCCGGCUAACUUCGUGCCAGCAGCCGCGGUAAUAAGGU
rnacentral:rRNA from 1 species